rnacentral:rRNA from 1 species
GGGGGGGGGGGGGGGGGGGGGGGGCACGGGCGGGGCGGGCGGAGGGGGCCGGGUUGUGUGGGGUGCUCGAGUGGCGAACGGGGGAGUAACCCGUGAGUAGCCUGCCCUGGACUUUGGGCUAACUUCCGGAACCUGGGGCUAAUACCGGAUCGGGACUCCGGCUGCCUGGUGGGGGCUGGACAGUUUGGGCGGUUGGGGAUGGACUCGCGGCUUAUCAGCUUGUUGGUGGGGUAGUGGCUUACCAAGGCUUUGACGGGUAGCCGGCCUGAGAGGGUGACCGGCGACAUGGGGACUGAGAUACGGCCCAGAGUCCUACGGGAGGCAGCGGUGGGGAAUAUUGCACAAUGGGCGGAAGCCUGAUGAAGCAACGCCGCGUGCGGGAUGACGGCCUUCGGGUUGUAAACCGCUUUCGCCUGUGACGAAGCGUGAGUGACGGUAAUGGGUAAAGAAGCACCGGCUAACUACGUG